rnacentral:rRNA from 1 species
GACGAACGCUGGCGGCGUGCUUCAUACAUGCAAGUCGAACGAGGUCCAACUGGUAGCAAUACCAGUGAAGACCUAGUGGCGAACGGGUGAGUAACACGUGAGGAACCUGCCCCGAAGACCGGGAUAACAGCGGGAAACCGCUGCUAAUACCGGAUACCCCCACCGGAUCGCAUGGUCUGGUGAGGAAAUGCCUGAUUCACUUCGAUUCAGACGCUUCGGGAGGGCCUCGCGGCCAUCAGCUUGUUGGUGGGGUAAUGGCCUACCAAGGCGACGACGGGUAGCUGGUCUGAGAGGACGAUCAGCCACACUGGGACUGAGACACGGCCCAGACUCCUACGGGAGGCAGCAGUAGGGAAUCUUGCGCAAAUGGGCGAAAGCCUGACGCAGCAACGCCGCGUGAGGGAUGAAUGCCUUCGGGUU